AUUGAACGCUGGCGGAAGGCCUAACACAUGCAAGUCGAACGAGUGGCGGACGGGUGAGUAAUGUCUGGGAAACUGCCUGAUGGAGGGGGAUAACUACUGGAAACGGUAGCUAAUACCGCAUACCAUCAGCUGUGCCCAUAUGGGAUUAGCUUGGUGGUGGGGUACCGGCUCACCAAGGCGACGAACACUAGCUGGUCUGAGAGGAUGACCAGCCAGACUGGAACUGAGAAACGGGCCCGAGUCCUAAGGGAGGCAGCAGUGGGGAAUAUUGCACAAGUGGCGCAAGCCUGGUGCAGCCAGGCCGCGUGUAUGAGGAAGGCCGUGGGGUUGUAAAGUACUUUCAGCGGGGAGGCGUUACCCGCAGAAGAAGCACCGGCUAACUCCGUGCAAGCAGCCGGGGUAAUA
rnacentral:rRNA from 1 species